rnacentral:rRNA from 1 species
GAGACGAGGAACUUAGGUUCUGAAGCAAUCGGAAGUGGUUCCAAGAAAAGCCUCUAAGCUUCAGUCAUACGAGACCGUACCGCAAACCGACACAGGUGGGCGAGAUGAGUAUUCUAAGGCGCUUGAGAGAACUCGGGAGAAGGAACUCGGCAAAUUGGUACCGUAACUUCGGGAUAAGGUACGCCCUAGUAGUUUGACCACUUUACUGUGGAAGGAUGAACGGGUUGCAAUAAAAUGGUGGCUGCGACUGUUUAAUAAAAACACAGCACUCUGCAAACACGAAAGUGGACGUAU